ACCCAAUAAUCUCGCUGUUUAUAUAAAAAUUUGCCAUUAGGCCCCUGAAUUAAUUUGCUCAUGCGUCCAAGACUCGAGUGCCCCGACGAGGUCGUCCAACCUCGACCUCCCUUUCCAGCCAUGGCCGCCUCCUCUCCGUCCACAAAUAAACGGCGGUCUUGGUGGCGGCCGGCGGGGGUGGGAAGGCGGCGGCGGGAUUCGCGGGAAGUGAGGAGAGCACAGAAGCGCAGAAGGGGGAAGUUGGGGCGGAUAUCCGACGGUUGGGCGUGGAGGGUCUCCCAUCUUUCGCGACCCACUGCGGUUGGCUGGAAGUUUUCUUGGUGCUAAUUAGGGUAAAGCCAGCUUUCCUUGUUUUACCUUCCGAGACAUGCUUCUCCAAAUCUAAAUAAGGCACCACUCCUACCUGCCUUCCCUUUUGUUUUCUGUUCCAAAGAAGAGAAAAAAGGAAGCAAACGUGGGAGGAGAAAAAAGGAAAAAAGAGAUCUUUUUUCUCCACUUUCGACCAUGCCAUUGUUCGAUUAGUUCUUAAUCAUCUUCUCUCGAGAUCAUUGGAUAAUUUUUAUCUGAGACUUGAUCCAGACAUCAUUAAAUGGAUUCUGCACAUGGAAAUGCAAGUAUAGAACAUGCAAACACACAUAUUGGGGCAGGAACUGUUAGAGGUGAUGAACUGCCUAAGCCUGGAAAUGAGCCCAUGCACGAUCAAGAUGCACGCUGUUCAUCAUCCUCAUCCUCAGAUACUUCAUCUGAGGAAGAUUUCUUCCAACUAGAUGCAAUUGAGCUAAGCAAUGCAACAGCAACACAUGAUGGAGCAAAUGCUCAGUCAGAAGCAGCAGUUAUUGACUCUACUGGAAAACAGGAAGUGAAAAAUCCAAGUCAGGAAGAGAGUAUGCUUGUCGGAGCCAAGCAGUCCCCACCAGUCCAGGUGAUGGGAAAAUCAGAUGGUUUUGAUCCCGACAGGAUCCCUUCUUCCAUUUUCACAAGGACCAAGUCUACAGCACCCAUGGAGUGGAGUGUCGCUUCUAAUGAAUCAUUGUUCAGUAUCCAAAUGGGAAGGUCUGGAGAGCUGACUGGCUUGUACAAUAAUGGCCAAUGGGAUGGUUAUCCAUCCAUUUCUCCUUUACCUGUCUCUGGUCCAGCGAACAAUGUAGGCACAGGACUAGGUCUAGAGGAACCUAGUGUGGCUGAAGCAGCAAAUGCUGAGGCCAUGAAGGAUGUUUUAAGGGCAGCUGCAGAAGAAAAAGGCAACCCUUUGACUGGGGGUAUGCCUCAUUCUGAUAGCAAGCGUUCUGAUAGCAGUGUCAACAGCUACCGCUCUUUUGCAUUUCCGAUAUUAAGUAGCACAUAAAAUGCUAAGAAGUGGAUCAUUGAUAAAUCACAAGUUUAGCUACAUUUUUCAAUUUUACAUUGUACAUGUUGAAAAAUGUGGUAACUUGAAGGAGUAUUUUGGAGGCGAGAGCUGAUUCCUUGGUAACUUACAGAUUGACAGAUGGAAAAAAUGGGUCCAUAAAAGUUGAGUCAGUGCGUCAGCAUACACCAAAGGAGCAGCCAAGGCAACCUCAGCCACAGACUGAGUCUCCUAAAGCAGUUCCUGUUGCUGCGGCAAACAAAUGGUUUCCAUGCUUCUCCUGUUGCCCAUUUUGUUGCUGAGAUGGCUUCUAAGAAGGAAUGCUUACGGAAGACCACCAGCAUGCAUUGAAUUUCCUGCACAAGCCAGCCAUACAGAAGACAGCUAAAAUUGCUACCAAGAGUUACUGUUUCGAUAGGGUAUGAUUUUUUUUCAUAUAAUGAGCCAAGCCUGAGAAGCCAAAGUUUGGCUCUUCGCAGUUCUGGGUUGUAGAUUUGCUGCUGCAUUUUGCUUGCCUUUAACUUAAUAUUCAAGAUCCAUCAUAAAAUCUUAAUAGACAAAAUUUGUGAUCACACAGGUCAGAAUUAGUGAAGUGAUCAGCCUUGGCAAUGGUGGAUUUAAGUUUUAACAAUCACUUCAUUGUUUGGCGGUAGGGAGUUAUAUUUGUUUUAUUAUCUCCUAUCCUUUUCUUGUCAUUUCUUUCUUUGAGAAUUCCAGUGGGAGUAUUACCUUCUAUGUUCAAACUUGAGAUCUCUUCCUAGCAUCUGCAGUGAGGAGAGGAUUGGCAGAUAGCUGACCCAUGCCCCAUUGGGAUGAUCUCCUAUAUAACUUCUGGCAUUUGCCUGGUUUGGUUGUUUUUAGAAUGAAGGCAUUUGCCUGGUAUGGUUGUUUUUAGAAUGACAAUGGGAUGUCACUACCAGGGAUCAAACCUAGACCUUUCCCUAGUGAAGAGAGAUGCCAACCAGCCAAGGCUGGUUGGCUUGGCAUGGCGUUGCCUUGUAUGGCUGUGUUUUUGUUUAAAGCUUGUAUCUGACAUAUCCUAGACCUGGUUUUAGUUUUGUCGUUUAACAAUAAACCUUGUAAAAUGAUUUUGAUGUAAUAAUAUUUGGUUCAUGCUGCAA